GACAGUGUUGAAGAGCCUUUGACUGCUGCAUUGAUGUACCUGACUGUAGCACUGAUCAAAAGCAUCCUUCAGUUUUUCCACCUUCUAUAGGCAGUUUGGAGGAGAGAGAACAAAGAGAUCCUCGGCUUCCUCCUGACAGGAUCAACGGACCUCGAGGGCUAAUCUUUCAUACUUGAGACUUCAGAACCUUUUCAGUCCCACAGCCUACAUCUUACCCCUUAGACCACAUCCACAUCUGGAAGUUGAGGCAAACAAGGCUGCCAGGGGCCCCGGUUAACACAAGGUCACACAUGAUGCCGCAGGAGACAGACUAAGAACACUUCACUGGGCCUUCAUAAAGUAUUAAGUACUACCUGCCCUCCAGGACACCUACAUCACCCGAUGUCACAGGAAGCCCAUUAAGAUCAUCAAGGACAACAACCA